AGAGUUUGAUCCUGGCUCAGGACGAACGCUGGCGGCGUGCCUAACACAUGCAAGUCGAACGGAGAUAAAGAUUUCGGUUUUUAUCUUAGUGGCGCACGGGUGAGUAACACGUGAAUAACCUGACCCAAAGAGGGGGAUAACACCUGGAAACAGGUGCUAAUACCGCAUAAGACCACAAUGUCGCAUGACGAAGGGGUCAAAGAAAAUCGCUUUGGGAGGGGUUCGCGUCCCAUUAGGUAGUAGGCGGGGUAAUAGCCCACCUAGCCGACGAUGGGUAGCCGAGCUGAGAGGCUGAUCGGCCACACUGGAACUGAGACACGGUCCAGACUCCUACGGGAGGCAGCAGUGGGGAAUUUUGGACAAUGGGGGCAACCCUGAUCCAGCCAUGCCGCGUGCGGGAAGAAGGCCUUCGGGUUGUAAACCGCUUUUGUCAGGGACGAAAAGGGACGGGUUAAGAGCUAGUUCCGCUGACGGUACCUGAAGAAUAAGCACCGGCUAACUACGUGCCAGCAGCCGCGGUAAUACGUAGGGUGCAAGCGUUAAUCGGAAUUACUGGGCGUAAAGCGUGCGCAGGCGGUUGGGUAAGACAGAUGUGAAAUCCCCGGGCUUAACCUGGGAACUGCAUUUGUGACUGUCCGACUGGAGUACGUCAGAGGGGGGUGGAAUUCCGCGUGUAGCAGUGAAAUGCGUAGAUAUGCGGAAGAACACCGAUGGCGAAGGCAGCCCCCUGGGACGCAACUGACGCUCAUGCACGAAAGCGUGGGGAGCAAACAGGAUUAGAUACCCUGGUAGUCCACGCCCUAAACGAUGUCUGCCGGUUGUUGGGGAUUUCUAUCUUCAGUAACGAAGCUAACGCGUGAAGCAGACCGCCUGGGGAGUACGGUCGCAAGAUUAAAACUCAAA
rnacentral:rRNA from 1 species